UAUAAUGGAAGGGCAUGAAAUGAACCUCAAUCUUAUGGUAGCAUGUUUCAUUAUAUGCAUGUUGCAGCUCAUGCUAUAGGAGAAAUUCCAUAGGUAUUUCUGAAGACAAUGACCUACAACAAGAUGCCAGCAUAGAAUGAGCCACUAACAUUUUUGCAAUCACUGGUGGACUUACAUCAAGGGCCAAUGAUAUGUUGCCCUAUGUUUUUCUGAUCUUAGGUUGCCUUUCCUCUUUGGAAGUUCCUAGUUUGUGGUAAAAACCAAAAAUUUAGGUUCUUUACCAUUCAUUUUCCCAAUGCCCUAAAACCUGGAAUCAGGUUCUGAAUCAUCCACCCACUGUAUCAGGAGAGGGGGGGGGGGAGAGGAAGCACAAAGGAAGGAUAGAAAAAACAGCUAGAGAUAUAGAUCAAAGUUUCUACCAUCGAAAUCAUCAAAAGAAUAACUUUUGAUACAAACAUCCCUCAUAAAUCAUAAAUUAGGGAGGCUCUGCACAUAUUCGGGAUUCCAGGAGGGAAUCAGCCUGGUAACCAUCCCAAUCUGCUCUAGAUGGGAGAUUAGCAAAUCCAUAUCAGUAAUUUUUUCAAAGCCCUUAUCUUCCAUUGAAUGAGGAAGCCAAAUUUCUCCAUCAGCAAACAACCCCACACGAGCCCCCAUCUAUAGCAUGCCCCUUCUGCCAUCUAUAAUGUGCCCCUUCUGUUGGUUAAACACGGCAGCCUAAACUGAUAAAACCAGAACUUACAAGGAAGCUGACGUGUCUCACCCAUGUUAAAGCUACAUAUAUAAAAAAGAAACAACUAGAGAGCUCCCACGAAAUGAUUCAGCUAGACCAACAUCUCAGCUUUGACCAAAUGCCCCUCCCUUGUCAGUGUAGUUCCCAUUGUGUGGGAGCCAAACGGCCAAGAGUCAGAACUCAGAACCUUUGGAAGAAGAAACCAAAGCUAUGAGAAAGAGAGAGAGGGAGGAGGGGUGGGGGGUGUGGGGCAGAGGACAAAAGAACUGCCAAUCCUUUACAUUUCUGGAAUUAAGCUUAAGAAGGGCCCUAUAUCAAUAAAACCACCAAAACUGCCUAAGCUCCUCCGAGUUGACUAUGGCAGAAAGAGAAGCACCAUAAAUGUCAACAAUAUAUUCAUUAUAUUCUAGCCAAUGAGAGCUUGAAUCCUCUCAAGACAAUAAAACCAAGCCCAACAAUAUGGCAUCUCCUUAAUCAACGAGCAUACCUACACUCCCUCCAUUUCAAGUUUCUACCCCUUCUCCCACUAUACUAAAAACCGCAUAAUCAGAAUGUUGCUCCCCUUUUAUAGGUUCCUUCCACAUCCUAUUUAGAAUUCAAGGUCUCUAAUCUAUGCAAUGCUCCCAUGCUUUCUUCUGGUUUCAGAUUCACCCUUUUCUCCAUCCAUAGCAGCCGCACCAGUGGUAAGGAUAGAUGCCUAUCCCAAAUACACCUUGCCCUGACAAGCUCUUUCAGGACCCAAACUCGCAGGGUAUUCUGAAGAACUUCUAAUAAAGCCAUUUUCAAGAAAACGUCUAAUAGGAAGGCCUCACAAAGCAGAAAGAUUUUUAAAAUGCCAGCCACCCCAUCCAUUUAGCACCAUCCAUCCAUUAUCUCUCAAUCAGCAUCCCUUUAACCUUAUUAAUAAUUUCCUUCUCUUCCCCACUUAAAAAUGCCCCCUCUUAUGUUCAACUGAGAUGCAUUUUGCAUUAACAUCAUUCCCC
rnacentral:lncRNA from 1 species